AGUGAACGCUGGCGGUAGGCCUAACACAUGCAAGUCGAACGGCAGCACAGUAAGAGCUUGCUCUUACGGGUGGCGAGUGGCGGACGGGUGAGGAAUACAUCGGAAUCUACUUUUUCGUGGGGGAUAACGUAGGGAAACUUACGCUAAUACCGCAUACGACCUACGGGUGAAAGCAGGGGAUCUUCGGACCUUGCGCGAUUGAAUGAGCCGAUGUCGGAUUAGCUAGUUGGCGGGGUAAAGGCCCACCAAGGCGACGAUCCGUAGCUGGUCUGAGAGGAUGAUCAGCCACACUGGAACUGAGACACGGUCCAGACUCCUACGGGAGGCAGCAGUGGGGAAUAUUGGACAGUGGGCGCAAGCCUGAUCCAGCCAUACCGCGUGGGUGAAGAAGGCCUUCGGGUUGUAAAGCCCUUUUGUUGGGAAAGAAAAGCAGCAGGUUAAUACCCCGCUGUUCUGACGGUACCAAAGAAUAAGCACCGGCUAACUUCGUG
rnacentral:rRNA from 1 species